rnacentral:rRNA from 1 species
CCCUUAGUAGCUGCGAGCGAACAGGGAAAAGCUCAGCAUUAAAUCUUGUAACUUGACAGUUAUCAAGAGAUGUAAUGUUUAGGAAAAUUCGUUUAUCCUAAAAUGUACACUUAGUCCAAGUCCACCUUGAAUGGGGCAUAUCCCGUAGAGGGUGCCAGUCCCGUAGUGGCAAGUGUCUAUAAAUCAUUUUAGGUGAAUUUUUCCUUAGAGUCGGGUUGCUUGUAAAUGCAGCUCUAAGUGGGUGGUAAACUCCAUCUAAAGCUAAAUAUAACCACGAGACCGAUAGCGAACAAGUAC